rnacentral:rRNA from 1 species
GAUGAACGCUGGCGGCGUGCCUAAUACAUGCAAGUCGAGCGAACAGACGAGGAGCUUGCUCCUCUGACGUUAGCGGCGGACGGGUGAUUAACACGUGGAUAACCUACCUAUAAGACUGGGAUAACUUCGGGAAACCGGAGCUAAUACCGGAUAAUAUAUUGAACCGCAUGGUUCAAUAGUGAAAGACGGUUUUGCUGUCACUUAUAGAUGGAUCCUCGCCGCAUUAGCUAGUUGGUAAGGUAACGGCUUACCAAGGCAACGAUGCGUAGCCGACCUGAGAGGGUGAUCGGCCACACUGGAACUGAGACACGGUCCAGACUCCUCCGGGAGGCAGCAGUAGGGAAUCUUGCGCAAUGGGCGAAAGCCUGCCGGAGCAACGCCGCGUGAGUGAUGAAGGUCUUCGGAUCGUAAAACUCUGUUAUUAGGGAAGAACAAAUGUGUAAGUAACUAUGCACGUCUUGACGGUACCUAAUCAGAAAGCCACGGCUAACUACGUG